rnacentral:rRNA from 1 species
CUUAGGCGUGUGACUGCGUACCUUUUGUAUAAUGGGUCAGCGACUUAUAUUCUGUAGCAAGGUUAACCGAAUAGGGGAGCCGAAGGGAAACCGAGUCUUAACUGGGCGUUAAGUUGCAGGGUAUAGACCCGAAACCCGGUGAUCUAGCCAUGGGCAGGUUGAAGGUUGGGUAACACUAACUGGAGGACCGAACCGACUAAUGUUGAAAAAUUAGCGGAUGACUUGUGGCUGGGGGUGAAAGGCCAAUCAAACCGGGAGAUAGCUGGUUCUCCCCGAAAGCUAUUUAGGUAGCGCCUCGUGAAUUCAUCUCCGGGGGUAGAGCACUGUUUCGGCAAGGGGGUCAUCCCGACUUACCAACCCGAUGCAAACUGCGAAUACCGGAGAAUGUUAUCACGGGAGACACACGGCGGGUGCUAACGUCCGUCGUGAAGAGGGAAACAACCCAGACCGCCAGCUAAGGUCCCAAAGUCAUGGUUAAGUGGGAAACGAUGUGGGAAGGCCCAGACAGCCAGGAUGUUGGCUUAGAAGCAGCCAUCAUUUAAAGAAAGCGUAAUAGCUCACUGGUCGAGUCGGCCUGCGCGGAAGAUGUAACGGGGCUAAACCAUGCACCGAAGCUGCGGCAGCGACACUAUGUGUUGUUGGGUAGGGGAGCGUUCUGUAAGCCUGUGAAGGUGUACUGUGAGGUAUGCUGGAGGUAUCAGAAGUGCGAAUGCUGACAUAAGUAACGAUAAAGCGGGUGAAAAGCCCGCUCGCCGGAAGACCAAGGGUUCCUGUCCAACGUUAAUCGGGGCAGGGUGAGUCGACCCCUAAGGCGAGGCCGAAAGGCGUAGUCGAUGGGAAACAGGUUAAUAUUCCUGUACUUGGUGUUACUGCGAAGGGGGGACGGAGAAGGCUAUGUUGGCCGGGCGACGGUUGUCCCGGUUUAAGCGUGUAGGCUGGUUUUCCAGGCAAAUCCGGAAAAUCAAGGCUGAGGCGUGAUGACGAGGCACUACGGUGCUGAAGCAACAAAUGCCCUGCUUCCAGGAAAAGCCUCUAAGCAUCAGGUAACAUCAAAUCGUACCCCAAACCGACACAGGUGGUCAGGUAGAGAAUACCAAGGCGCUUGAGAGAACUCGGGUGAAGGAACUAGGCAAAAUGGUGCCGUAACUUCGGGAGAAGGCACGCUGAUAUGUAGGUGAAGUCCCUCGCGGAUGGAGCUGAAAUCAGUCGAAGAUACCAGCUGGCUGCAACUGUUUAUUAAAAA